UUUCCCAUGGUAUAAGCUUGAACCAUAGUUGGAUGAAUUCUGAAAAUUGAGGGUUAAAAUGUUAAAUGUAUUAGUAAGUUUUUAAAUGAGAUUUUGGACUUUCGAAAUGAGGAAAUAAAGCUUAUGCCCAACUAUUAACCUGCGGAUCUAAAAGAGGAGCUUGUAUCUGAUUUAUAAUCUUCAUAUUCUGUCAACGAGCAUAUAUUUCUACUGCCGUAGUUGGAUGAAUUCUGAAAAUUGAGGGUUAAAAUGUUAAAUGUAUUAGUAAGUUUUUAAAUGAGAUUUUGGACUUUCGAAAUGAGGAAAUAAAGCUUAUGCCCAACUAUUAACCUGCGGAUCUAAAAGAGGAGCUUGUAUCUGAUUUAUAAUCUUCAUAUUCUGUCAACGGGCAUAUAUUUCUACUGCCGUCGGCUCUU
rnacentral:lncRNA from 1 species